CAAUAAGGCAUGGAAAACUUUAAACCGUGCCUAAAGCUCUCCGUGUUUACACGUUUCUUUUCUUUUUUCUCAUUGUCACUCUCACUCCUCUCUCUCUCUCUCUCUCUCUCUCUCUCAACUCUCGAUCCACCUCCUCCCUUCUCACUCAAUCUCUCUAUUUCACUCAGAUCCUCCUCUCUUGCUCUCUCCAAUCUCACUACAUCUGGGAUGAGUCCAACCAAUGGUUUGAUUUUUUUUGGGAUUUUUGGAUAUGAUCUUGUUUGAUUUGGUUUGGGUAUUUCUUAUGGCAAGGACAUUGAAUUUCAGUUUGUAGGCUAUUUUGAUAUCUUGAGAAAGUUGAAUUUUGGUGUUUUCUCGGAUGUGGGUUGCCUCUUUGCUCUGCCUUCCUCUCAUCUGAAUGUUGGGUAUGCAAAUGAAGAAGAUGUGGGGAAUAGGAAGAAGAAAGCAUAUUUGGAGAUUGGAAGAUGCUAUUGUCAGGAGGGACUUUAUUGCAAAUUGUGUGGGUUGUAAUGCAAAUUAGUAAAAUACAGAGAUACUCAGAGUUGUACAAAAGAAUUAUUGUAACAAAAUUUAUUUGUUUUUGGUA